AACUUUAUGACUCUAUAACUUC
rnacentral:snRNA from 1 species